GACGAACGCUGGCGGCGUGCUUAACACAUGCAAGUCGAACGGAAAGGCCUCAGCUUGCUGGGGUACUCGAGUGGCGAACGGGUGAGUAACACGUGGGUGAUCUGCCUUGCACUCUGGGAUAAGCUUUGGAAACUGGGUCUAAUACCGGAUAUGAACUGCCUUUAGUGUGGUGGUUGGAAAGUUUUUUCGGUGCAAGAUGAGCUCGCGGCCUAUCAGCUUGUUGGUGGGGUAAUGGCCUACCAAGGCGUCGACGGGUAGCCGGCCUGAGAGGGUGUACGGCCACAUUGGGACUGAGAUACGGCCCAGACUCCUACGGGAGGCAGCAGUGGGGAAUAUUGCACAAUGGGCGGAAGCCGGAUGCAGCGACGCCGCGUGGGGGAGGACGGCCUUCGGGUUGUAAACUCCUUUCGACAGGGACGAAGCUUUUUGUGACGGUACCUGUAUAAGAAGCACCGGCUAACUACGUG
rnacentral:rRNA from 1 species